rnacentral:misc_RNA from 1 species
AUCCCCAGGUGGUCAAAAUUAAUCCUGUCCUCCGGUGGGACGUGCCAGAUGCCCGUCGUAGGUUUGGCACGUAAAAACUUCAAAUUUCAUUGAUUUCUCUAACAAGCAAUCCCCUUGUAACAAUUACCGUGCAGGCAUUUCUAAAAUUUGCUGUUGAUUUUUCACUAAGAAAAGUGUUGAUUAGGCAAGCAAAUACGGUAACGGCCUUCAUACACUCAGAACCGCGGCUUUUAAGAUUCAUAUUCCUAUGGCCUAUGCGAAAAGUCACAGUUCCUUCGUAGGUUUGCUUGCUUUCGAAAACAUGUUAAUUUAAGUCAGGGAUAACUAUGUGAAUAGCGUAAUUGUAUGAGCGUAGAGCGUUACUUAAGCCCACACCACCUCAUGAAGGACGUAAUAUGCAUGGCCUUGUUCACAAUCUAUCAAAGAAGCGGAGUCUUCUACCAGGACAUCACACCAUAUGGCUCGGAGCUGCCUUGCUGACGGUUCCCUUCCCCGCCUGUAUGUACCAGAUUGCCUGGCUCAUGUAGGUUCAGCCUCGCAGGCUCGUACCUGUCCUCCCAGCAAAGACGCUGGAGGCCGGGACUGCGAUGAUUGCAGUUCAGAAGAGCUGUGUCAGGACUCCUUUGCUCUAGAGGCAUCAGGGGAACUCCCUGAAGUCUCUGGGGGUUACCACAUGAGUCUGUGGCAGCAGCGCCACCACCUGGUCCUGUGACAGUCGUGCCGUCACCCUGUCCUGUGGCAGUCGUGCCUCCACCUCGCUUCGUGGCAGUCAUGUCACUACCUCGUCCUGUGACCGCAUUGCCCCCACCUCGCCCUGUGACAGCAUUGCCAUCACCUCGCCCAGUGGCAGCUUUGCUACCACCUCCUACCAUGUCAGUUGUGCCGCCACCUCGUCUAGUGGCAGCCUUGUCACCUCCUCGACUCGUGGCAGUCGUGACACCACCUUGUCCUGUGGCUGCAUUGCCACAAACCCGUCCCGUGGCAGCAUUGCCAUCACCUCCUCGUCCCGUGGCUGUAAGGCCACCUCCUCUUGCGGUAGGAGCAGUUGGAGAUAAUGAUCAGGUUGACCUGGGCGGCGGCCUGUUCAUGAUGGCAGCGCAGUUUAACCACUGCGUUAAGAAGUCUGCUGCCGACUCGAAAAUGGUGCGGAAUACCGCCCUGGCGUUCUGGACACACGAAGAGCUGUUGGUGCGGAGUGUUAUGGGGAAUCCCUCCCGCCGAUUUCUCAAGGAGUGUCCUGAGGGCACAAAGUAGCCUAUGACGCCCAAGAAAUUAAAAAUAUUUCGGGCUGCCCUGCGUGCCUACAUUGGGAACAAGUCCGAGGAAGAAGUUGGCGCUAGGCUGGCCAAGACGAACGCAUACUUGGCCAACUACGUACAAGACACCUCCAGUAGGUGGAAAAAAGCGCAGCGGAAGAAGAGCCAAGAGGCAGCAGCUGAGGCAGAGGAGAUGGCGCUUCUGUCAAUACUGUCUCCCUUACAGCGCCCUACCUCCCCUUCUGGUACUAUAGAAUAAAGGUAGUUUGACUUUCUGAGGGAUUCAUUUUUCUGGCCAGCAUAUCGACGUGCACGUCUGGACUGACGUCUUAAAUGUGCUUUCAGUAAUUAGAUACAUCAUUCCUUAUGCCAAACAUGCUUUUCUAACAUGAAUUUCAGAACACGAACACAAAAGUUCAAUAACUAUCUAACGGAGACUCCAUGGAUCAAAUGAGAAUCUCGUGCAACGAGAAAUCGUAUGGUUUUAUGUGUCAAAUUAGAAUCUCGUAUGAAACGAGAAAUCAUAUGAAACGAUAAUCUCGUAUCACUUCUCGUAUAAAAUAAGAAAUCCUAUUAGUACUCGUAUAAAUGAGAAACUCGUAUCCUUCUCGUGUCCAAUAAACACAUAUGAAUUUCUCUUAAGCCUUUCUCGUAAACUUUAUAU